rnacentral:tRNA from 1 species
UAGCUCAGUUGGUAGAGCGUCUGCCUUACAAGCAGAAUGUCGGCGGUUCGAUCCCG